UGGCGUCCCGGGCGCAGCAGCAGGAGGAGGCUCGGCUGCUCCUCCAGGAGAAGGAUCAGUGCAGGGAACAGGUCAGGCAGCUCAGCGAGCAAUCCGAUAGGCUUGAGCUGCUGCUGCUGAAGUCACAGGGGGAGGAGUUACAGCUGAGGACACGCCUCCGCAGACUCACCUGCAACACUCACCUGGGGGAGAGGAGCAGUGAGGAGGAGGAGGAGUCCACAGGGAGUGGUGCUAAAGGCAGCAGCGGGACGUCGGGGGAGAACGAGGAGCAGAAACAUAACCCACCUGUAGGGGGCGCCGCUGAGUCUAAGCAGGAGCCCAGCACUGCUGCAUCAUGGGACGAGGAGACAGGUGGCUGUCUCACCUAUAGAAG